rnacentral:rRNA from 1 species
UGGGGAAUAUUGCACAAUGGGCGAAAGCCUGAUGCAGCAACGCCGCGUGAGUGAUGAAGGUCUUCGGAUUGUAAAGCUCUGUCUUUUGGGACGAUAAUGACGGUACCAAAGGAGGAAGCCACGGCUAACUACGUGCCAGCAGCCGCGGUAAUACGUAGGUGGCGAGCGUUGUCCGGAUUUACUGGGCGUAAAGGGUGCGUAGGCGGAUGUUUAAGUGAGAUGUGAAAUACCCGGGCUUAACUUGGGUGCUGCAUUUCAAACUGGAUAUCUAGAGUGCAGGAGAGGAGAAUGGAAUUCCUAGUGUAGCGGUGAAAUGCGUAGAGAUUAGGAAGAACACCAGUGGCGAAGGCGAUUCUCUGGACUGUAACUGACGCUGAGGCACGAAAGCGUGGGUAGCAAACAGGAUUAGAUACCCUGGUAGUCCACGCCGUAAACGAUGAGUACUAGGUGUAGGAGGUAUCGACCCCUUCUGUGCCGCAGUAAACACAUUAAGUACUCCGCCUGGGAAGUACGAUCGCAAGAUUAAAACUCUAAAGUGAAUUGAC